rnacentral:rRNA from 1 species
GGUUCAGUGAGGCGUUCGGACUGGCCCAGGGAGGUCGGCAACGACCACCCAGGGCCGGAAAGUUCUCCAAACUCGAUCAUUUAGAGGAAGUAAAAGUCGUAACAAGGUCUCCGUUGGUGAACCAGCGGAGGGAUCAUUG